rnacentral:rRNA from 1 species
UACGUAGGGUCCGAGCGUUGUCCGGAAUUAUUGGGCGUAAAGGGUGCGUAGGCGGCGCGGUAAGUCGGGUGUGAAAUUUCGAGGCUUAACUUCGAAACUGCAUUCGAUACUGCCGUGCUUGAGGACUGGAGAGGAGACUGGAAUUUACGGUGUAGCGGUGAAAUGCGUAGAUAUCGUAAGGAAGACCAGUGGCGAAGGCGGGUCUCUGGACAGUUCCUGACGCUGAGGCACGAAGGCCAGGGGAGCAAACGGG